UACGUAGGGCGCAAGCGUUAUCCGGAAUUAUUGGGCGUAAAGAGCUCGUAGGCGGUUUGUCGCGUCUGCCGUGAAAGUCCGGGGCUCAACUCCAGAUCUGCGGUGGGUACGGGCAGACUAGAGUGAUGUAGGGGAGACUGGAAUUCCUGGUGUAGCGGUGAAAUGCGCAGAUAUCAGGAGGAACACCGAUGGCGAAGGCAGGUCUCUGGGCAUUAACUGACGCUGAGGAGCGAAAGCAUGGGGAGCGAACAGG
rnacentral:rRNA from 1 species